AUCCUCUCGGUCUUGUGGCUCCUGUCACUAUACAGGGGAGGUUUCUACUUCGAGAGCUAUCCAUUGAAGGAACAGACUGGGAUGAAUCACUGCCACAAGAGAAACAUGGUGAGUGGGAAUCAUGAAGGGCAUUCAGUGAAAGACUUGCAACACCUUCACAUUCUUUGUCCUUACACACCCAACUCUCAUUCAAAGGCAAUUCACAAAGAAAUCUGUGUUUUCUCUGAUGCGUCAACAAAGGCCAUAGGGGCUGUAGCAUAUCUCAGGGCAGUAGAUGGAGAUGGACAGAUCAGCAUUGGCUUCAUCUUAGGAAAAGCAAAACUGACGCCAAAAAACCAGCCUACCAUACCCCGAUUAGAGCUUUGUGCUGCAGUCUUAGCAGUGGAGGUAGGUGCAGAGAAUCAGACAAUUUUCAGAACCAAAGCAAUGGCGAUACAUACCCACAGAGCACAAUCCUGCUGACAUUGCUUCCAGGUCCAUCCAUGCAUCUCAGCUCGUGAAAUCAAACUGGUUUACAGGUCCAGCAUUCCUGCAUAAGCCACAUGAAGAUGAUUUCAAUAUGACAGACAACUUUGCGCUUGUGGAUCCAGAUUCAGAUACAGAAAUCAGGCCAAUUGUGACAGCUUGCACCACAGGAAUGAAGGAUAAACAACUCACCUCUGACAGGUUUCAGAGGUUCUCCUCUUGGAAACCCUUACAAAGAGCCAUUGCAUCGCUCAUCCAUGUAGCUUGCUCUUCUAGAUCCACCAGUGAAUCCAACACAUGCAGUGGUUGGCACCUUUGUUCACAAGCACACACUGUAAGUGGGUUGUUAAAAGCCAAGAAUGUGAUAAUCAGCUCUGUGCAAAAGGAAUCAUUCAACAAGGACAUCGAAACACUCUCUAAGGGAGGACACCUGAGCAGCAAAGUUCCACUCUCGAAACUGAAUCCUUUCUUAGAUGAGGACGGUCUACUCCGAGUCGGAGGCAGAUUAAAACUGGCAGAUUUAAACUACCCAGAGAAAAACCCAGUCAUCUUGCCCGGUAAGCAUCACGUUUCUGCGUUACUCAUAAGGCACUACCAUGAACGUGUGGAGCACCAAGGCCGCAUAUUCACAGAAGGGGCCAUUCGUG
ensembl:lncRNA